AGACUGUAAUAAAAUGCACAUACGUGUGUAUGUAUUAUUGAGCAAUUUUAAGAUAACUCUCACCUGAACAAAUAUUAAAUAAGACAUGCUGACUAGUAAGAAAACCAUGCAAUUAUAAAUUAAUUAUCAUAUGCUCCCUCCCCAAGUUUUAAUCUUUUUUUUGUUCCAGGAGUACUAUAGUAAAGUGGUUGCUCAAACUUGUACAUAUUGGGAAUUGGCCUAAUACUUAUACUUAUCCAUAAAGUGCAAUACUAGUAAAUGAAUCCAAAGAAGACAGAGAUCUACAUUUAUUGAUAUGGGAAGAUGUUCAUAAUAUGUUAUUAGGUAGAGUGAGCAGGUAAAGAACACUUAAGAAUUAUUAGAUUUUGUUUUACAAUAUUUAUUGGCAUAGGGAAAAGUCUGAAACUAUGUGCAUUUGAUGUAUUUUUAACCUUAAUUUUUCAAUAAUGAUUAUAUGUUGCUUACAUAAUUACAAAACAGAAAAAAUAAGAAAUUCACUCAUAUCUCAGCUAAGUUUACACAUGGCAAAAUAUUUUCCACUGAAUAUCAAAUACAUUAGAACCAUCUCAAAUGAGUGUUAUAUUUAUUUGGAUUUCAAACUGAAAAGAUAACUAAACCAAAAGUUCCAGUAUCUAGAAAGGAAGUUUCAACAAGAUUCUAUUUAUCAGCUAACUUCAUAAAAACUUAAUUAGGAAAAUUUGUUUAUGUAAAAAACAUCCAGGGUUUCAAGAUAAUAUGUCCACAGGAAACUUUAGAAAGCUUUAAGGCCAAGUUCUGGGAUAACAGUUCACUAACUUACAAACACAUAUGAAAAAUGUAUGAGAUCCAUACAUUUUUAUAAGCACACCAUAUUUCCCCUGGGAGGUAUGUAGGAAGCAGUUAAAUUAUCUUUUGUCCUUGACCUAGAUAAAGUAAUGCUUAUGCUGGAAAUUAAACUAAGUACCCAGGACAAGCUUUCUUCUCUGGCAAUUUAAAAGGAUUUUCUACUAUAGAAAUAUGUCAGCUUUCCUCUGUCUGACCUUCUGGUCCCACUUGUCCUCCUCCAUGCAAAAUUGGCCAAGCCUGCACACUUAAAGGAAGACCGAUAGAUGCUCAGGUGCAAGGCGAAGGCUCUGGGGCUGAGACCCCAGUGCAGGUUCAUCCUGUCUCUUUUUACCCCUUUCGGCAGCCCUUCCAUGUCCCAAAAGAAUGAACAGACUAUUCCACAAGCCUGCAAGUAGAUAUCCCAGUGAGUCUCAGGAUUGUCUGAUUCUUUCAACAGAAAUAUGUCUUAAAUCAUCACCAUGUUAUUUCUGAGUAGUAGGCAUCCAUUCCCAAAACUCGUUUAACUCACCAGUUUCCAGCGUAAUAUCUUGAUCCACUCAUCAGCUUCUACUCCUGUCUUUGCACAGAGGUAAAAUGUCCUGAAUGGAAAUACUAAGCUGAUAGGACAAAAGAAAGAAGAAUUCCAUGGCCAUGAGUUAGAUGAUAAAUUAUAAUUAGUUGAAGUCAACUCUAAUGAUGCUAGUACCCUUUUCUUGCUUCCUCUGCUGCCGACAAUAGCCAUGGGACCCAGUCCAGGCCAAUGAGAUAUGAGGGGAAAUCUGAUAGGAGACUUUCUGGGGAAAUACCUGCCUUCCUGAUAAAAAUGGACAAGCAUAGCUGAGGCCACCCCUACAUCUUUCGUCAUGACUUACAUGAAGUCUGGAGUAUCAAGCUUGAGGAGAAGGCCAACAAAACUGUAGAGGCACAGGACCUGACCUUGUCAAGACAGCUGCCUGCCUCCAAGUACUUCGUUAUAUAAGUAUAAAUCCUUUCUAGCUCAUAUGAUUCCUUUAUGCAAACUUUUGAAGAUGUCUACUCUUGGUUGAUACUAUAGAAUUAAUGUUAAUUUUCUUAGGUGUGAUAAUGGUAUUGUAGUUGUAUCAGCGACACUUUUAUUCUUAGGAGAUGCAUCUUGAAGUAUUUAGGGAUAGUGUGUCAUGGUGCCUGCAAUUUAUCUUCAAUUGGUUCAGGUAAAAAUGUGAUUAGAUAGAGAUAAAGCAAAUAUGGCAAAAUAUUAACAAUUGAUGUAUCUAGGUGAGGGAUAUAUGUCAACUUUUGUAUGCUUGAAAACUUUAAAAUAAAAAUUGGUGGGAAAUAAGACACCUCUUUCUCAAGAUACUUGACUUCUCCCAGUUAGAAAAUGGUCAUGCUCGACUGAUUAUGUUAGAACAAAACACUUUUGUGUCAUCUCCCAGAAAUUGUCAUAACAAUACAAAUCGCCCAUCAUUGGAGUUAACAAAGAUAUAAUUGAGGAGAAAACUCCAAAGGAAUAAAGCUGUUUACAGGGAAUGGCAUCCUCUCAUGCGUAUCACACUUGGGCAGUGCACAGCCUAAUCAAGUGUACCUGGCAGACGUGCGCUCCUAACAUAAAUGCCCACGCCACCCAGAUCAAAACAUUUGUACACAUUAAGACAUAGUUUCUUAUUCCUCAGUUAAAACACCUGGCAAGGAGACUUUAAAAACAUUUUCCUUAUGAAACAACUUACCAAAAACAGUUUACUCUUUCCUGUGAGUAAUCAAACUGUACAGCUGAACAUUCUGUUAAGUCUAGGAUCCGAAUUGGUUCUGGUGACUUAAAAAAAAAAAAAAGCAAGCAACUUAUGUCAUCAUAAAAAA